CUGAAGAGCCCUAAAAUCUCCCAUCCGGGGGCACCAUCAAGACCCCAGAGAAUAGGAACCUACAGUGCGUGUUCUAUAAAUAUGAAAUCAUUCUUUUUUAAAUUGCUUAUAUGCAACCAAAGCAAUCUGGUAGUUUUGAGACUUACUAGAGUGAACCUUAUUAGUCUGAUAAUACAAGGUAACCACCUCCCCUAAAGACCACCUUGAUCUGAGAGGACAGGUUUCCAUUACUGAGGACAAAGAGGAACAACUGGAGUCACCAUUCUCUUAACAAGGGCAAUGUUAUUAUCUUCACCCAUGGAGAAAAUUAAUCCAUAUUUUCAUAUAAUUUAAUGUAUGAUAAAACGCUUUUCUUUUUAACUGAUGCUUAACUAAUGUGUUCUACUAUCUAAGUGUAAUGACAUUUCCUUCCUGAAAAUUCACAUCACACCAUAAUAAAUUUUACAUGCUGGCCCCAAAUUAUGGACUCAUUUUUUUGAAAGAGAUUUUCAAUUGUGCCCUUAUUUAGUGCAGAUAAACUUUACUUUAUGUGCAAACUACUUUUCUGGUUUUUUGUUUGUGUUUGGGGAUUUGGGGGUUUAUGUUAUUUUAGUUUUGUUAGAUGAUUGAUAUUCAGGAUAUCAACAUGCUAGGCCAGUUAUCCAUUACUGAGCUACACCCUCAGCCUAGUGGCAACUACUCCAAUUUAAUUCACAGCAAGAAGUAGACCUGCUGAGUUUGGUAACCAGAACAGUCAGGUAAGCUCAUGACUGCCAGGAUAGAAUCUGGGUUCUCUGACAAUACAAUGAGAUCCCCAAGACUAGCAUGACAUGAGUGGUAGGUCUCAUUCACUAGGGACACUAUGGAAUCACUGGAACUACUCAUUCUUCCUACAAGGCAAGAAUAUUUUCCUCUUCACCUAGCAAUAAGGAGGCAGCAAGGCAUCACCUACAUUUGGGAACCUGGAAUAAUCAGAGCCCACUCCAUAAUGAAAUAAAUAGAUAUGUCAGAAUUACUUUUUGCCUUGUGCACUUCAGGAGGAGAGUAUCCAGGACCUACU
rnacentral:lncRNA from 1 species